rnacentral:rRNA from 1 species
UACGAAGGGGGCUAGCGUUGUUCGGAAUUACUGGGCGUAAAGGGCGCGUAGGCGGGAUGGCAAGUCGGUCGUGAAAUCCCUCGGCUCAACUGAGGAGCGUCGAUCGAAACUGCCGUUCUUGAGGGUUGCAGAGGAGACUGGAAUUCCCGGUGUAGCGGUGAAAUGUGUAGAGAUCGGGAGGAACACCGGUGGCGAAGGCGGGUCUCUGGGCAACUCCUGACGCUGAGGCGCGAAAGCGUGGGGAGCAAACGGGG